rnacentral:rRNA from 1 species
GGCUCAGAACGAACGCUGGCGGCGCGCCUAACACAUGCAAGUCGAGCGAGAAGGUGUAGCAAUACACUUGUAAAGCGGCGAACGGGUGAGGAAUACAUGGGUAAUCUACCAUCGAGUGGGGAAUAACCAGCCGAAAGGUUGGCUAAUACCGCGUACGCCUCCGGAUCUUCGGGUUCGGAGGGAAAGCCACACUGUGAGUGCGGCGCUCUUUGAUGAGCUCAUGUCCUAUCAGCUUGUUGGUAGGGUAACGGCCUACCAAGGCUUUGACGGGUAGCUGGUCUGAGAGGACGAUCAGCCACACUGGCACUGCGACACGGGCCAGACUCCUACGGGAGGCAGCAGUAAGGAAUAUUGCGCAAUGGACGAAAGUCUGACGCAGCGACGCCGCGUGGGGGAUGAAGGUCUUCGGAUUGUAAACCCCUUUCGGGAGGGAAGAUGGAGUGGGUAACCACUUGGACGGUACCUCCAGAAGCAGCCACGGCUAACUUCGUGCCAGCAGCCGCGGUAAUACGAAGGUGGCAAGCGUUGUUCGGAUUCACUGGGCGUACAGGGAGCGUAGGCGGUUGGGUAAGCCCUCCGUGAAAUCUCCGGGCCUAACCCGGAAAGUGCAGAGGGGACUGCUCAGCUAGAGGAUGGGAGAGGAGCGCGGAAUUCCCGGUGUAGCGGUGAAAUGCGUGGAGA